rnacentral:rRNA from 1 species
UACGGAGGGAGCUAGCGUUGUUCGGAAUUACUGGGCGUAAAGCGCACGUAGGCGGCGAUUCAAGUCAGAGGUGAAAGCCCGGGGCUCAACUCCGGAAUUGCCUUUAAAACUGCAUCGCUAGAAUUGUGGAGAGGUAAGUGGAAUUCCGAGUGUAGAGGUGAAAUUCGUAGAUAUUACGGAAGAACACCAGUGGCGAAGGCGACUUCCUGGACCAGUACCGACGUUCAGGCACGAAAGCGUGGGGAGCAAACAGGAUUGAGAAACCCGAG